GCGCCAUUUUAUAACUGCGUAGAGGUUAGAAUCUGUGUGAUGUAGUUCUAAAUUUCACCAAGAAAAGAUGUGUUUAAACUACCAAGAUGCUUACAAAACGGGAUCUUCAUGUGCUUCUUGUUUGAUGAUGGGAUAUCAAGCAUUAUCAUUAGUGUGUCAAGACUCAAGGUCGGAUCUGCACUGAAGCUUGCAAGAAGAGGAAUGGAAUCAGGAAUUGAUGAGAACAUGACAUACUGAGAUGUGUGGGAAGAUGUUGUUGGCUGCUGAAAAGACUCAAACCCAUAAAGUACUAUGGAUGUUCUACUGUAGUGAAAUCUUUGCAAUCAUCCUGCAAUACAGACGAGGAAUUGAUGAGAACAUGACAUACUGAGAUGUGUGGGAAGAUGUUGUUGGCUGCUGAAAAGACUUAAACCUAUAAAAGACCAUGGAAGUUCUACUGUAGUGAGAUCUUUGCAAUCAUCCUGCAAUACAGACGAGGUCUACAAGAGCCAUUUGACCAGACAAGCAAGCACAUAAGAAAAUGAGAUGAUGAAAAGCCUCUUCAGUUGUUUUUGUUUUGCUAAGAUGUUUCCUGGCGAGAAGUACAUUGAUAACAUCUUCAAGGUUAUGGCUCCUGAAUUGACGACAAAGCUUGCAAAGGAUUGGAUCCACAUUGGGAGAGACUGAAAGAGAACAGGUUAGGAGGGGGACUCCAGGAAUGUGCUCCCAUUACAAUUUAAGCUUGAGGCAGACAUGGACAUAAGUCUUUGUUGGACCACGACACUGCACUCCCAAGAACUCAAUGCAUGCAUGAAGGACAUUCACCAAUUAGGCGACUGCAAACAAGACGAUGCUAAUUGCCACAAAAACAGUGGUUCAUCAUUUUUUGCAACAGCCACUCCCAGUCAUUUCCAUCACAGUUGGAGAUGUGCAGUUAAACUUCUCCAGAAGGUAGACAUCUCUGUGCAGUCAUGGAUGAACAUCUAUCACUGAAGGCCCAUGUCAACACCCUCAUGCUCCUCUUCAAUGACUGCCGUCCGAAAGAUGUUUUUUAUUUUAUUUAGAAAAUAUUGAUCCACACAAUAAUGUUGUACCUGGAAAUUGUUUGGUUUUUCUUUCACCAGCUUGUUGAAGCAAAUUCAUGACUUCUCAAAAUGUUGAACCGUUUUAGUUCAGAAAGUAAAUGGGAAAACCUCACAGUUUUGAAGUACAUUAGUUUAAAUAUCCACUACUUUUAGUCCACUACUUUCAAUUUUAUUCUGUCCAACCAGGUUCAUGUCAUAACAAACUCUUUCAUAGCCCAAAAACAUCAAAUCUAAAAGCGUGUCUCUAUAAUGUUCGGAUAAAAUAAAUGAAAUCAUUGAUUGUGAUUGAAAUGUUGAAGUUUGAGAUGUAAUGAAUUUUCAACAACACGGUUUUGAGCCUGACAAUUGAAUGCCUAAACACACCUAAAGGGACUCUUCACUUUUGGGUUGGGUUUUGGGCUUUAGAAAGUGCUUGCUAUGAAAUGGAUGUGGUUGGAAACAUGUUUUAAAAUUAGAAAAUAAUGAUCCACACUGAUACACAUGUACCUGGAAGUUGUUUGGUUUUCUUUUUAUACCCUCUUGCAGUAACACAGUCUGCCAUUUUGUUGAAGCAAAUUCUGGACUCCUUAAAAUGGCAGACUAUUUCAGUUCACAAAGUAAAUGGAGUUUAUGACUCCACAAAACACAAAGUAAAAGGAAAACCACACAGUUUUGAAACACCUUAGUGUAAAUAAUUAUACCCUACUUUCAAAAUAUGUUGCCAACCAGAUAAUAUCCAAAAAUGUUGAAUUACCUCACAUGCUUUAUGUUGGCUAUUUUUGGCUUUAGAAAGUGCCUGCUAUGAAAAGAUGGUUGUAAAUAUGUUUCAAAUUUAUUGAUCCACACUUCCUGGAAAUUGUUUGGUCUUCUGUUUACCCUCUUGAUUGAGCAGAGUCUGCCAAUUCAAUUCAAACUUAAUGUUAUUUUGGUUGGAAACCUGUUUCUGUUAAGCAAUACUUUUCUGUGCUUAGCAAGUUGCUUUGCUUUCAGGCUUUAUUAAAUUGGGCCCAGAUUCAUGUCAUAACUGUAAUAAAUGCUUCCAUAGUCCAAAGCACCAAAUCUAAAAGCAAUGUGUCUCUUGAAGAAGGUUUUGAUGACAAUAAAGUGAUUGAAAUUGUUGAGAUGUGAUGAAUUUUCAACCAGGUUAGAUAAAAAGUACAUAACCUGACUUUUUAAUGUUGAAUUACCUCACAUGCCUAAAAGGGAAACGUCGCAUUCGGGUUGGGUGUUGUAGGCUUUAGAAAGUGCUUGCUGUGAAAUGGAUGUGGUUGGAAAUAUGUUUUAAAAUAAGAAAAUAAUUAUCCACACAGAUAUACAUGUACCUGGAAAUUGUUUUCUUUUUACACCCUCUAAAAGUACCACAUAUACAGUCUAUUUUGUUGAAGCAAAUUUUUGACUCCUUAAAAAUGGCGGACUAUUUUAGUUCACAAAGUAAUUGGAAAAACCUCAAAGUUUUGAGGCACGUUAGUGUAAAUAACUAAACAACAGUGUGAAACUAAAUUGUUUUUGGUUGGAAACCUGUUUCUGUUAAGCAAUACUUAUUUUUGUGCUUAGCAAGUUGUUUUGCUUUAAAGGCA